rnacentral:rRNA from 1 species
UACGUAGGGUGCGAGCGUUAAUCGGAAUUACUGGGCGUAAAGGGUGCGCAGGCGGUUGUUUAAGUCAGAUGUGAAAUCCCCGGGCUCAACCUGGGAAUGGCAUUUGAGACUGGACAGCUAGAGUGUGUCAGAGGGGGGUAGAAUUCCACGUGUAGCAGUGAAAUGCGUAGAUAUGUGGAGGAAUACCGAUGGCGAAGGCAGCCCCCUGGGAUAACACUGACGCUCAAGCACGAAAGCGUGGGGAGCAAAC